rnacentral:rRNA from 1 species
AUUGAACGCUGGCGGCAGGCCUAACACAUGCAAGUCGAGCGGAUGACGGGAGCUUGCUCCUUGAUUCAGCGGCGGACGGGUGAGUAAUGCCUAGGAAUCUGCCUGGUAGUGGGGGACAACGUUUCGAAAGGAACGCUAAUACCGCAUACGUCCUACAGGAGAAAGCAGGGGACCUUCGGGCCUUGCGCUAUCAGAUGAGCCUAGGUCGGAUGAGCUAGUUGGUGGGGUAAUGGCUCACCAAGGCGACGAUCCGUAACUGGUCUGAGAGGAUGAUCCGUCACACUGGAACUCAGACACGGUCCAGACUCCUGCGGGAGGCAGCAGUGGGGAAUAUUGGACAAUGGGCGAAAGCCUGAUCCAGCCAUGCCGCGUGUGUGAAGAAGGUCUUCGGAUUGUAAAGCACUUUAAGUUGGGAGGAAGGGCAGUAAGUUAAUACCUUGCUGUUUUGACGUUACCGACAGAAUAAGCACCGGCUAACUCUGUGCCAGCCGCCGCGGUAA